UAAAGAGUAAGCUAAGUAAGCUGAAGGGCUCAUAACUCUUUGAUAAUUUUAAUUCUCUUUAA
rnacentral:tRNA from 1 species